GAUGCAAAUCUUCGGACGUGCUGGAAGACCUCAGUUUGAUAAAAGUGGUGAAGGCAUUAUAAUCACUUCACAUGACAAAUUGGCUUAUUAUUUACGGCUAUUGACAAGUCAACUUCCUAUAGAAAGUCAGUUCAUCAAUUCCUUGAAAGAUAAUCUAAAUGCUGAGGUGGUACUGGGUACUGUAACAAAUGUCAAGGAAGCUUGUGCUUGGCUUGGUUACACAUACCUUUUCAUUAGGAUGAAGAUGAAUCCUUUGGCCUAUGGCAUCGGAUGGGAUGAGGUCAUGGC
rnacentral:misc_RNA from 1 species